rnacentral:tRNA from 1 species
GGUGUUCAGCUCAGUGGUGGAGUACUUGCCUAGUAUGUGUGAGGCCCUGGGUUCAAUUCCUAGCACUG